rnacentral:rRNA from 1 species
AACGAACGCUGGCGGCGUGCUUAACACAUGCAAGUCUAACGGGAAUGUCGGCUUCGGCUGACUAGUACCGUGGCGCACGGGUGAGUAACGCGUAGAUAAUCUACCUGGUGAUUUGGGAUAACAGUUCGAAAGGACUGCUAAUACCGAAUAAGCCCACGGAGUCUUUGGAUUCUGCGGGAAAAGGGGGGGACCUUAUGGCCUUCCGUCAUCAGAUGAGUCUGCGUACCAUUAGCUAGUUGGUAGGGUAAAGGCCUACCAAGGCGACGAUGGUUAGCUGGUCUGAGAGGAUGAUCAGCCACACUGGAACUGAGACACGGUCCAGACUCCUACGGGAGGCAGCAGUGGGGAAUUUUGCGCAAUGGGGGAAACCCUGACGCAGCAACGCCGCGUGAGUGAUGAAGGCCCUUGGGUCGUAAAGCUCUGACAGAGGGAAAGAAAUGCAGGGGAGCUAAUAUCUCCUUUGCUUGACGGUACCCUCAAAGGAAGCACCGGCUAACUCCGUGCCAGCAGCCGCCGUAACAC